AGGAGGCAGCAGUGAGGAAUUUUGCGCAAUGGGCUAACGCCUGACGCAGCAACGCCGCGUGGAGGAUGAAGGUCUUUGGAUUGUAACUCCUGUCGACCGGGAAAAAGGGAGCCGACCUAACACGUCGGUGAAUUGAUUGUACCGGUGGAGGAAGCCCCGGCUAACUCUGUGCCAGCAGCCGCGGUAAUACAGAGGGGGCAAGCGUUAUUCGGAAUUAUUGGGCGUAAAGGGCGCGUAGGCGGCUUGGCAAGUGGAAGGUGAGAUCCCUCGGCUUAACCGAGGAACUGCCCUCCAAACUGCUUUGCUUGAGGCCGGGAGAGGCGAGUGGAAUUCCCAGUGUAGCGGUGAAAUGCGUAGAUAUUGGGAGGAACACCAGUGGCGAAGGCGGCUCGCUGGACCGGUUCUGACGCUGAGGCGCGAAAGCGUGGGGAGCAAACGGGAUUAGAUACCCGUGUAC
rnacentral:rRNA from 1 species